AAUGUCCUCGCUUGCCUGAAAUUCAAUUAGAUGAAAAGGCAUCCUUAAUAUAGAAAGAAAGAAAAAGGGUAUUUAUUCAUCAUCAAAAAAGGAAUAACAUGGACUAAAGCAUGCACAAGUAUAGGCCUACAAUGUAUACAAAUAAGCAAGUAAGAUGGGCUGAAAGUUAACCUGAAUGGUGCCCCAAGGUGGGAAGAAGUAUAAGGAAGGAAAAAGUACAGGUCAUAAUGGUCAAGUAGAACUUCAGCUCAACCGUAGAGUACUGUUGCAUUUUUUUGGCAGAAUCUGUUGGGGUGUUGUUGCUGAAAAAGACAGACAGCCAUGCCUCUUCACCUUGUCUGCCAGGUGGACCAGACAGUGGACAUUGUGUACAAUCUGGUCUGUCCCAUACAGCUCAC